AAAGGGACCAAUUAGAGGGGGAGAACUCUAGAAGCGGGAGGAUGGCGGCAGGGAAGAGGAAGAAAAGAAGAGAUGCGAGAAAGAAGAGGAAAUUGGGGGGAAAGGAGGACAAAUCAAAAAAUACAAGAGGGAGAGACGGGUCAAAAGAAAGGAAAAAAAAGAAAAAAGGGGGAGAUGGCGUUGGCCAAGAGGGGGAUUACAAGGAAUCCCAUUGCCCCGAAACUAUGAACCGGAAUAAGGAGGAAAGAAGAAUGGGAAAGAAGGGGGGAACGAAGAGAGAAAUUGUACCCCGGCUUUUGAGAGAGGUCGAAGGAAGUAUAGAAGGAAGUGUAGAAGACGAUGUCUGAAGAAGCAAAGAGAAUCAUAACGAAGGUACUAGAGAAACAAGACAUGGCAAUUUCGUAUCUCUACCAAAUCAAAUUCUAGCACUAUCGCCGUGGAUUAGUACUAGAGAAGUAAAACAUGGCAAUUGCUAAUCUUCAAGUUGAAAUGGUGAAUCUUACUUCUUGUAUGUCAUAGUAUAUCGAAAUGACCACAAUGCAAAGUGUGGCCACAUUUGGUGUGUCAUCUAGGCAAUGAUAUCAAACUAAUCAACAUCCUCAAUGAAUUGAGAAUGGAGGUUGGGAUAGUGUCAAUGCUUGGGGUUAUCUAGGCCAUAAUCAAUAAAGGAACGACUUGUUUUCCAACACUUACAAUCCAGGUGGGAGAGAUUGUGGAGCCAAAAAUAAUCAAGAAGAAUAUGGAGAUGACACGUGGAUUCUAGGGUAAAAAGGACAAAACUACCCUUGAGGAACACCGGAACUCCUACGCGCGAGUAGUGAAUAAUCAUCCCUCAAUCAAGUCAAAAGUGCCAAAAAUAGGUAUUUAUUUAAAACAUAUUUCAUCCAUCCUCAUCAAAUAUUCUCCACAAGGUAAUCCCCAAAUCUUUCAUUUCAAAUUAUAUUAAUUAGCUAAUUAAUUGAUUUAUUAUUCAAUUAAUUUAUUACUUAGCUACAAACCAUGAAG